UGGGGAAUUUUGCACAAUGGGGGAAACCCUGAUGCAGCGACGCCGCGUGAUUUAGAAGGCCUUCGGGUUGUAAAAAUCUUUUGUAUAGGAAGAAAAUGACAGUACUAUACGAAUAAGGACCGGCUAAUUACGUGCCAGCAGCCGCGGUAAUACGUAAGGUCCGAGCGUUGUCCGGAUUUAUUGGGCGUAAAGCGAGCGCAGGCGGUUAGAAAAGUCUGAAGUGAAAGGCAGUGGCUCAACCAUUGUAGGCUUUGGAAACUGUUUAACUUGAGUGCAGAAGGGGAGAGUGGAAUUCCAUGUGUAGCGGUGAAAUGCGUAGAUAUAUGGAGGAACACCGGUGGCGAAAGCGGCUCUCUGGUCUGUAACUGACGCUGAGGCUCGAAAGCGUGGGGAGCGAACAGG
rnacentral:rRNA from 1 species